rnacentral:lncRNA from 1 species
CUUUAUGUGGGCAUACCUAUUUGAUUUGUCCACUGACCAGUCCUUAGCAAUCCUUUUUUUUCUCUGCUGCUGACAAACCCAUGUUCAAGAGCUGUAGGGUGAUUCCUGACCUGAAGGGAAGCAGAGCUGGAGUAGUGUCCUUGUCUAUACUGUCACUCAGGAAUGAGCAGCUUGGCUGGGAGAGGGAAGCACUGGCCUUGUCCCCUCAUCCCAAGAGGCACUGGAGGAGAGCCCUGCCUGGAUGGAGCUGGCAGGCCCAGGUGGGGAAGGCCCAGGCCAGCAGGUGUGCACUCCUGUCUGUGAGGUGUAUGGUGCCUUUUCAGUGCACAAUUCUGGGUCCUGUAGAAGUGAAUCGUCUGAAUAAUAUAUGUAAUUUGAAAAAUGCUUACCUUGCACCCACCUUAAGUAAGAAAAAAUAUUACCCUGCACCCACCUUCCUCCUUGAGUUAAAGUACCUGCGGAGAAUAAUUCCAUCUACGUGUACCCUAAAGCUAGAGGCUGAUUCAGAGAAACCUACUUAGCUUUUGUCUGCUGUAGUACACAGGAUGUGGAAAGAAAGACUGCCCUAAGAAGAAGCUGGGAAAAACAUUUUGAGGACCUUGGAGGUUGCUGGAUGACUCUGUGAUAUUGGAGAGUCCAAUAUUUGCAUUUCCUUCCUCAUUGUAACAGAAAAAUUUUCAGUAGUCUCUACAGGAACUGUUUAUCUAAAGGCUGUGUUGAGAGUUUGGAAAUAAACAUGUGUUUUAGC